CAGCGACACUCACACACACGUCUCACAGAGAGCUCCAGCAGAGCUUAAGCACAGGUGCACUGUGGGACAUCUGCACCUCCCAAAUGAGCGCCUGAUACCGGAGUGGAGCUCACCUACAGCGCAGACGUGAGCAGCCAUGACCAAAUCCUACGAGUUCAACUGGCAGAAGAGCGUCCCCGCGUUCCUGCAGGGGGGGGCCUCCUUCCACAGGUUCGAGGAGGAUCCGUUUGUGUUCGAGCCCAACUGCCUGUUCAAGGUCGACGAGUUCGGCUUCUUCAUCACCUGGAAGAGCGAGGGGAAGGAGGGGCAGGUGCUGGAGUGCUCUCUGAUCAACAGCAUCCGCACUGGGGCCAUCCCCAAGG